AUGAUAGAGGUGCGGUUUUCAACGAGUAAUCAGGUAUAUAGCCUCCGGACAGAGGACUGGAGAAAAGUGAGACCGCCGAAGUGCUGUGCAGGUGUCUGACGCACAGUUGCUGGGAUGCUGCAGAAUAUGCAGUAUACUGUCACUGAUUAGUGGAGCGCUAUCUGAU
rnacentral:ncRNA from 1 species